rnacentral:rRNA from 1 species
UACGUAGGGUGCAAGCGUUAAUCGGAAUUACUGGGCGUAAAGCGUGCGCAGGCGGUUUGGUAAGACAGAUGUGAAAUCCCCGGGCUCAACCUGGGAAUUGCAUUUGUGACUGCCCGACUAGAGUGUGUCAGAGGGGGUAGAAUUCCACGUGUAGCAGUGAAAUGCGUAGAGAUGUGGAGGAAUACCGAUGGCGAAGGCAGCCCCCUGGGAUAACACUGACGCUCAUGCACGAAAGGCGUGGGGAGCAAACAGGAU